rnacentral:misc_RNA from 1 species
GAAAUGCGAUAAGUAAUGUGAAUUGCAGAAUUCAGUGAAUCAUCGAAUCUUUGAACGCACCUUGCGCUCCUUGGUAUUCCUUGGAGAAUGCCUGUUUGAGUAUCAUGAAAUCUUCAAAGUAAAUCUUUUGUUAACUCAAUUGGUUUCUACUUUGGUAUUGGAGGUCUUUGCAGCUUCACACCUGCUCCUCUUUGUUCAUUAGCUGGAUCUCAGUGUUAUGCUUGGUUCCACUCGGCGUGAUAAGUUAUCUAUCGCUGAGGACACUGUAAAAGGUGGCCAAGGUAAAUGCAGAUGAACCGCUUCUAAUAGUCCAUUGACUUGGACAAUACUUUUAUGAUCUGAUCUCAAAUCAGUUAGGACUACCCGCUGAACUUAAGC